CCCUAAUAUUGUGCAAUUGACUGUUUUUUUUUUUUUCCAUCAUGCUGUGCUCAUAGCUUCUGUGGAAACGUAAACAUUAUUCAAUAGAACAACUUCCUGCAAAACCUUUUGAAAGUAGUCACAGAUGCUGACCCUGCUCUGGUGCUCUAGGUCUGCCAGCAUGAGGCUUUAUUACUUCUGGAAGUUUCAGUGCCAAGACACAGUUCAAGAGGAAGAGCUGAAAUAAAGCGAGCUGGCCUACAAGGUAAUUGGAAGAGUUACAGGUCGAACUCUAAAGAAUGGAAUGCUGAAAUCACUUAUAUUAACCCUGUCUUAUUCCCAAUGGGAAACCAAGGCCCUGAGUGCCUAAAGGACUUCUCCAGGACCACACAGUCAUUGGCAAAAUCAGGACCUGAACUUCACAUUGCAGAGGAAUCGGGAAUAGUACUUAAAACUUAGCAACAGGACAGCACAGUCACCAAAGCAGAACAGAGACCCUGAUUGUACUGGUGUGUCAACAAAUACUGCCCCAGCUGGACCAGAGUGGAUGUCAGUAAUACUUUAGGAGAUAAAGUGAAAAAGUGCCACUUCCUUGUAAUUAGAGUCCCUAAUGCGCUUAGCUAAUAAAAAUGAAAAUUUA